UAACAUUCACAUUUAUCAGAAGUGUUUCUUUAUCAAAGAGCAGCAUAUUAUAAUGAUUUCUGGAGGAUCAUAUUACGCUAAAAACUGAAGUAAUGAUUCUGAAAAAUCAGCUUUGAUCAUAGCAAUCAACUGAACCUUUGCAAAAAACCCGCCCUCCUCAAAUACUGUUGCUAUGUCUGACAACCCAUGCUGCUCUCACAGUACACACCUUGUUCUCACACAGCGAAAAAUACAUCGUGGACCAAAGAGGAAACUGACAACACACUGACAGAAGAAGACCGAGAAGGUCACUUCUGGUAUGAAACAAGUUUUCAGCUUUCAAAUUUGGUCCCCUUUUUUUUUCUUUUUUUUUUUAAAGAAAUUCAAACAAUAAAUAGCAUUUUGUGCUGUUUUAAUGCAUUACAGAUCACUGUAGUGCCUCAGUUCAAGCAACACACAUGAACCGAUUGAUUCAUAUUUAAUUGAAGAACAAAAUAAAAAAUGUCAAGUCUUUAUACAACAUUUUUCAAGUUUAAGUCCACCGAAGUUAAUCUACUCUCCUGUCUACCGUAUUUUCUGCACCAUAAGGUGCACCGGAUUAUAAGGCGCAGUCUCAAAACUAUUCAUCAAAGUCCUCAUCUUCUGUGUCUGAAUUGAACAGCUGGGCAACAGCUUUUGAACAGCUUAAUUCAUCAAACAUGCCGGGUUCCCUCUCAUCAUGGUUGAUCACUGCCAGCAUACGUAGUGUACGUAUUACGUCCCUGUGUCAGCGGGAAAUGGUCUGACAGUCAGCCUCGCGUGUGGAGACUUCAGAAGAUGCCAGACCUCACAAAGAUUUCAGAUGAUGGAAACUAUAGAUGAACAUGCAAAGCUGCUAAAUAAUCCUUAUAUUGUAAUCUUUGCCCUAAAAGGUAAGUUUGCAGGCUGAUUUAAGGUGUGCUCCUACAUUUUCUGCUUGUACUCCUAUGUAUUUAUGAUACAAAUGUAAAUGACUGUAAAUGAACAUAAAAAGCUGUUGCAUGCCUUUGUCAUAAGCACUCGCCUGUUAGCAAUGUUAAUUUUAUUUAACAAUGUUAUUACUGAGAUCAUUAAAAAAAGUAAUUGUGACGAGUGGGGUGGGGCCGAGAGCCUUGGGAACGGAGUGAGGCCGGUGGAGUGAUUAGGAAAUGAGUAAGGAUGAGUAUCGAAAACCGGUUCCAUUUUAGAACCGGUUCCAAAUUUCCAAGA